rnacentral:rRNA from 1 species
GGCAGGUACGUGCAGUUGGCGGGGGGAAGACGGAGGGUGCGAGCGGUGGCUGGAAGUACGGGGCGUGAAGAGCUCGUUGGUGGUUUGUCGCGUUGUUCGGGAAAACUCGCAGCUUAACUGUGGGCGUGCGGGCGAUACGGGCAGACUAGAGUACUGCAGGGGAGACUGGAAUUCCUGGUGUAGCGGUGGAAUGCGCAGAUAUCAGGAGGAACACCGGUGGCGAAGGCGGGUCUCUGGGCAGUAACUGACGCUGAGGAGCGAAAGCGUGGGGAGCGAACAGGAUUAGAUACCCUAGUAGUC